rnacentral:lncRNA from 1 species
CAUAUCGUGAAUUGAUAUCAGCUUUUAUCUUCAAUACAUAAUAUAUAUAGAGAGGCAUUGGAGGACAGAGAGUAAAAGAGAAAAAUAUAAACAAAGUCAUUAAGAAAAAAAUUGAAGUGUUCAAUCAUCAACUUUUCUCUCCAAGGUAAAAUUUGAUAUCUUUAUAUAUAAAAGAAAGGUUUUACCUCGAAACCCUAAUCCCAUUUUAGUGAAAUAUUUGUUGCCCUAAACGUAUUUUUGUCUGUUUACAUGAAAGUUAUUAUUAUUAAAAAAAUAUUUUUUUGCACAAUUUCUAGAUUACACUACACGAUUACAUAUUAAAGAAAAAUCACGAUAAAAUAUAUACCCACAAUGUUAAAACCGCCAAUUUUCAUUUCCAUUGUUCCUCAAUUCUCGCCAUUAUCGGCAUAUAUGUAAGCAGGGUUCGCCGGAACGGCUUGGGAACGGCCGGAACGGCCGUUCCGCAAGGGGAACGGUACCCUCCAUUUCGAAAUCCGUAACCAGAACGAUGUUUUCAGUGGGAUUCAUCGGAACGCCGAGAAAUCGGUGGGAUGGGCGAGACGGAGCCACGGAAUGGCCCCGGCACGGCCGGACUGGUGCCUGAACGGCGCAGGAACAGCAGAAAUAAUAGGAAAAAAACAUAAUUCGACUACAAAAAAAAAGGGGGAAAUGACUAAUUUGACUGAAAAAAAUAAGGAAAAAAAAUAUAAUUAACUUUUUUGUAAUGGCUCCUGACUUUUCUACUGUUCUUGUUUUUACUGUUUGACUUGUGACUUGUGAAUUAUUUCUUGGAUUCUAAUAUUUUGUAUUAUGAUGAAUUGGAUUUUACUAUUGGGUACAGAUUUUCACAUCAUCACAUGCAUCUCUAGGCUAUAGCCUUUCACAUCCAUGUCUCCCACAAGCCACUGUUUCACUCAAUAAUAGAACUAAUAAUAAUAGAGAUCGUGGAUUGAUAUCAGCUUUUAUCUUCAAUACAUAUUAUAUAUAGAGAGACAUUACAGAGGCAUUGGGGGAUAGAGAGUAAAAGAGAAAAAUAUAAACAAAGUCAUUAAGAAAAAAAUUGAAGUGUUCAAUCAUCAACUCUUCUCUCCAAGGUACAUUCUGAUAUCUUUAUAUAUAAAAGAAAGGUUUUACCUCGAAACCCUAAUCUCAUUUUAGUGAAAUAUUUGUUGCCCUAAACGUAUUUUCGUCUGUUUACUUGAAAGUUAUUAUUAUUAAAAAAUUAUUUUUUUGCACAAUUUCUAGAUUACACUACACGAAUACAUAUUAAAGAAAAAUCACGAUAAAAUAUAUACCCACAAUGUUAAAACCGCCAAUUUCCAUUUCCAUUGUUCCUCAAUUCUCGCCAUUAUCGGCAUAUAUGUAAGCAUGGUUAGCCAGAACGGCGUGGGAAACGGCCGGAACGGCCGUUCUGAAAGGGGAACGGUGCAAUCCAUUCCGGAAUUCGUAACCAGAACGGUGUUUUCACUGGAAUUCAUCGGUACGCCGAGAAAUCAGAGGGAUGGGCAAGACGGAGCCACGGAAUGGACCCGACACGGCCGGAACGGUGCCGGAACGGCGCCGGAACAGUAGAAAUAAUAUGAAAAAAAUAUAAUUUGACUAAAAAAAAAGGAAAAAAUGACUAAUUUAACUGAAAAAAAUAUGGAAAAAUAAUAUAAUUAACUUUUUUGUAAUGGCUCGUGACUUUUCUAAUGUUCUUGUUUUUACUGUUUGACUUGUUACUUGUGAAUUUUUUCUUGGAUUCUAAUAUUUUGUAUUAUGAUGAAUUUGAUUUUACUAUUGGGUGUUUAUUUUCACAUCAUCACAUGCACUCCUCUAGGCUAUAGCCUUUCACAUCCAUGUCUCCCACAAGCCACAGUUUCACUCAAUAAUAGAACUAAUAAUAAUACAGAUCGUGGAUUGAUAUGAUCAGCUUUUAUCUUCAAUACAUAAUAUAUAUAAAGAGGCAUUGCAGAAGCAUUGGAGGAUAGAGAGUAAAAGAGAAAAAUAUAAACAAAGUCAUUAAGAGAAAAAUUGAAGUGUUCAAUGAUCAACUUUUCUCUCCAAGGUACAAUUUGAUAUCUUUAUAUAUAAAAGAAAGGUUUUACCUCGAAACCCUAACCCCAUUUUAGUGAAAUAUUUGUUGCCCUAAAACGUAUUUUUGUCUAUUUACUUGAAAGUUAUUAUUAUUAAAAAAAUAUUUUUUUGCACAAUUUCUAGAUUACACUACACGAUUACAUAUUAAAGAAAAAACACGAUAAAAUAUAUACCCACAAUGUUAAAACCGCCAAUUUCCAUUUCCAUUGUUCCUCAAUUCUCGCCAUUAUCGGCAUAUAUGUAAGCAUGGUUAGCCAGAACGGCGUGGGAAACGGCCGGAACGGCCGUUCUGAAAGGGGAACGGUGCUCUCCAUUCCGGAAUUCGUAACCAGAACGGUGUUUUCACUGGGAUUCAUCGGUACGCCGAGAAAUCAGAGGGAUGGGCAAGACGGAGCCACGGAAUGGACCCGACACGGCCGGAACGGUGCCGGAACGGCGCCGGAACAGUAGAAAUAAUAUGAAAAAAAUAUAAUUUGACUAAAAAAAAAGGAAAAAAUGACUAAUUUAACUGAAAAAAAUAUGGAAAAAUAAUAUAAUUAACUUUUUUGUAAUGGCUCGUGACUUUUCUAAUGUUCUUGUUUUUACUGUUUGACUUGUUACUUGUGAAUUUUUUCUUGGAUUCUAAUAUUUUGUAUUAUGAUGAAUUUGAUUUUACUAUUGGGUGUUUAUUUUCACAUCAUCACAUGCACUCCUCUAGGCUAUAGCCUUUCACAUCCAUGUCUCCCACAAGCCACAGUUUCACUCAAUAAUAGAACUAAUAAUAAUACAGAUCGUGGAUUGAUAUGAUCAGCUUUUAUCUUCAAUACAUAAUAUAUAUAAAGAGGCAUUGCAGAAGCAUUGGAGGAUAGAGAGUAAAAGAGAAAAAUAUAAACAAAGUCAUUAAGAGAAAAAUUGAAGUGUUCAAUGAUCAACUUUUCUCUCCAAGGUACAAUUUGAUAUCUUUAUAUAUAAAAGAAAGGUUUUACCUCGAAACCCUAACCCCAUUUUAGUGAAAUAUUUGUUGCCCUAAAACGUAUUUUUGUCUAUUUACUUGAAAGUUAUUAUUAUUAAAAAAAUAUUUUUUUGCACAAUUUCUAGAUUACACUACACGAUUACAUAUUAAAGAAAAAACACGAUAAAAUAUAUACCCACAAUGUUAAAACCGCCAAUUUCCAUUUCCAUUGUUCCUCAAUUCUCGCCAUUAUCGGCAUAUAUGUAAGCAUGGUUAGCCAGAACGGCGUGGGAAACGGCCGGAACGGCCGUUCUGAAAGGGGAACGGUGCUCUCCAUUCCGGAAUUCGUAACCAGAACGGUGUUUUCACUGGGAUUCAUCGGUACGCCGAGAAAUCAGAGGGAUGGGCAAGACGGAGCCACGGAAUGGACCCGACACGGCCGGAACGGUGCCGGAACGGCGCCGGAACAGUAGAAAUAAUAUGAAAAAAAUAUAAUUUGACUAAAAAAAAAGGAAAAAAUGACUAAUUUAACUGAAAAAAAUAUGGAAAAAUAAUAUAAUUAACUUUUUUGUAAUGGCUCGUGACUUUUCUAAUGUUCUUGUUUUUACUGUUUGACUUGUUACUUGUGAAUUUUUUCUUGGAUUCUAAUAUUUUGUAUUAUGAUGAAUUUGAUUUUACUAUUGGGUGUUUAUUUUCACAUCAUCACAUGCACUCCUCUAGGCUAUAGCCUUUCACAUCCAUGUCUCCCACAAGCCACAGUUUCACUCAAUAAUAGAACUAAUAAUAAUACAGAUCGUGGAUUGAUAUGAUCAGCUUUUAUCUUCAAUACAUAAUAUAUAUAAAGAGGCAUUGCAGAAGCAUUGGAGGAUAGAGAGUAAAAGAGAAAAAUAUAAACAAAGUCAUUAAGAGAAAAAUUGAAGUGUUCAAUGAUCAACUUUUCUCUCCAAGGUACAAUUUGAUAUCUUUAUAUAUAAAAGAAAGGUUUUACCUCGAAACCCUAACCCCAUUUUAGUGAAAUAUUUGUUGCCCUAAAACGUAUUUUUGUCUAUUUACUUGAAAGUUAUUAUUAUUAAAAAAAUAUUUUUUUGCACAAUUUCUAGAUUACACUACACGAUUACAUAUUAAAGAAAAAACACGAUAAAAUAUAUACCCACAAUGUUAAAACCGCCAAUUUCCGUUUCCAUUGUUCAUCAAUUCUCGCCAUUAUCGGCAUAUAUGUAAGCAUGGUUAGCCGGAACGGCGUGGGAAACGGCCGGAACGGCCGUUCUGAAAGGGGAACAGUGCCCUCCGUUCCGGAAUCCGUAACCAGAACGGUGUUUUCACUGGGAUUCAUCGGAACGCCGAGAAAUCGGAGGGAUGGGCAAGACGGAGCCACGGAAUGGACCCGACACGGCCGGAACGGUGCCGGAACGGCGCUGGAACAGUAGAAAUAAUAUGAAAAAAAAACAUAAUUUGACUAAAAAAAAUAAAAAAUGACUAAUUUGAUUAACUUUUUUGUAAUGGCUCGUGACUUCUCUACUGUUCUUUUUUUUACUGUUUGACUUGUGACUUGUGAAUUAUUUCUUGGAUUCUAAUAUUUUGUAUUAUGAUGAAUAUUAUUUUACUAUUGGGUGCAGAUUUUCACAUCAUCACAUGCACUACUCUAGGCUAUAGCCUUUCACAUCCAUGUCUCCCACAAGCCACAGUUUCACUCUAUAAUAGAACUAAUAGUAAUACAGAUCGUGGAUUGAUAUCAGCUUUUAUCUUCAAUACAAAAUAUAUAUAGAGAGGCAUUGCAGAGGCAUUGGAGGAUCGAGAGUAAAAGAGAAAAAUAUAAACAAAGUCAUGAAGAAAAAAAUUGAAGUGUUCAAUCAUCAACUCUUCUUUCCAAGGUACAAUUUGAUAUGUUUGUUGUUUUUUAAUUUAUAAUUUUAUACGUCGCUAAAAGAUUGUAGUGCAUAAUUUAAUAUUGAUAGUCAUAUUGUUUUCGUAAUUUAUAAUUUAAUAUAGAAUAUUUAUAGUGAUAUAGUUUUCGUAAUUUAAAAUUUAAUAUAGAAUAUAGAUAGUAUGAAGAACGAAUAAUUGUAAUAAUAUUUUGCAUAUUAUUGUAUUGUAAUAUCGUUAUUAAAAACAUAUUUGAAAUAUAUUGUAUUUCUUUAGUAAUUAAAUUAAAAUGUGUCAUUUCCGGUCGCGACGUUGCAAUGGAACUGGAACGGCAAUGUCCGCGACAAUGCAUUGUUCCGUUCCGGCGAACCAUGUAUGUAAGUCUCAGAAUAACUCCCCAUUUUUCCACUCAUAAAAUUUGUUUUCCUAUUCUCUUUAUAUUUCUUCGCCGUUGUCAACGUUGGCUGCAAUUUUAAUACUACAUAAUCGCAAUGAAGAAAUGGUUAGUGAUCUUUCAGUUUUAGAAUUCAUUUUGCGUGCUCUGAAUUCCUAAAUCGAUCAAUGUUUAGAUUUUUGUUUUUGGGUUUUAUGAAAGUUACCCUUUAAUAAUAGGUUUGGAAUAUAUUUUUUUCUUUAUUUUGUUGAAAUUUCAUUUUAACAACGAUGUUUAUCAACAGUCAGUCUCACAUGCUAUAAUUAAAAAAGUAGAUGUAUAAUUCUUCAAAUUUCCGUGGAGUGUUGUAUGAAAACUGUUAAUUAUUAGUUUUGUUUAGUACACUUCUUAGACAACUUUUUAGCAAUUUUAUUUUUUUAAAUGUUCAUGAUAUUUAGGGAAUCAACUGUGACAUGUGGGGAAUCAAUUGAUGAGUAGUUAUUUGUUCUUUCUAUAAGAAAAGGAAUCGAAAUGUUUGAAGUUGUUGCUAUUUUAUUUGGUGUCACUGUAACAUAUGUUUUUCGUACACCAUGGUCAUAUACUCAUUAUUUUCAGCAAAAAAAAAAAAGAAGUUUUACUAUUUUCUCUAAUAUCUGAUGAUAUAUACAAUAAUCAGAAAAUAAGAAAUCUCACAACAAGUAUAUUAAUAUUGUUUUUCUCUGUUUUUUCACAGGUUUACCUGGUGAUGAGAAUGUCUUUUUGCUUCUUUUAACAGUUUUGUUUAGAGUUGUAUUAGUUUUGUAUUUGGAGGUGUUUUAUGAAGAUUGCUGCUAUCUUGAGAAUUUGGGAUGGCAAAAAAGAAAUCAAAAGCAAGAAGAUUCAUCUCUAGACUGCUCCAUUACAGAAACGAUAAUUGGUGCAUUUAGUUGGGUGCUCACAUGAAUUAGUUGCUGAUGAAUCGAACAUGAGGACGAGACAACAUGGUAUUAAUAUUAUACUAUAAUGAUUAAUAACAAAUGUUUUCUGAUUGGCAAUGUAGUUUUCUUUUCUCCACCCCUCUAAGAUUACUACAUUUCCACAUUUUUCUUUGUUAUGUAUAUCUAUUUGCUCUAUCUGUUGAUAUUAGCAAUUCAUUUUGUAUAUUGAUGUUUUUGCUAUAGUCAUGUAUUAAAUUG